GAUGAACGCUGGCGGCGUGCCUAAUACAUGCAAGUCGAGCGAACGGACGAGAAGCUUGCUUUUCUGAUGUUAGCGGCGGACGGGUGAGUAACACGUGGAUAACCUACCUAUAAGACUGGGAUAACUUCGGGAAACCGGAGCUAAUACCGGAUAAUAUUUUGAACCGCAUGGUUCAAAAGUGAAAGACGGUCUUGCUGUCACUUAUAGAUGGAUCCGCGCUGCAUUAGCUAGUUGGUAAGGUAACGGCUUACCAAGGCAACGAUGCAUAGCCGACCUGAGAGGGUGAUCGGCCACACUGGAACUGAGACACGGUCCAGACUCCUACGGGAGGCAGCAGUAGGGAAUCUUCCGCAAUGGGCGAAAGCCUGACGGAGCAACGCCGCGUGAGUGAUGAAGGUCUGCGGAUCGUAAAACUCUGUUAUUAGGGAAGAACAUAUGUGUAAGUAACUGUGCACAUCUGGACGGUACCUAAGCAGAAAGCCACGGCUAACUACGG
rnacentral:rRNA from 1 species